UUCAACCCCCAAGCCCUAAUCUGCUUGACGUUGGGAGUUUACGGAGACGUAAUUCCUCAAAUAUAGUGGCGGAGCUAGGUCGUGCUCUAAGCGUAGUAACCACACUCUCGCUUCUGCAGCCGGCCUAGGUCUUGCCGUAAAACCCCUAUAUUUA
rnacentral:misc_RNA from 1 species